UCCAAUCUCAUACAAUUUAAUAUAUCUCAAUAUCGAGGAGGGAUUGACUACCCCUCUUACGCGUUGGGUUGCAAGUUUUUGUUAUUUGUGUGAAGGUGUUGUUUACAUAGUUUGGUGGAUCCUCCUACUGGAUUGAUACCUUGGUUUCAUAACAGAGGGAAAUACUUACUGUUGUUGUGUUGCAUCAUGAUCUCCUCUUCGGGGAAAUACCAACGCAAAUACAAGUAGUCAACGGGUAGGAGGGUCUUCCUUCCUCGGAUACCCCUAUGCCCGUCUGACAACGACAUGUUUCCAUUCAAGUUCAAGAGGAAGUAGUUUCUUCUCAGGCUUGGCUUUGCUAUGACGAUUAACAAGCCACAAGGACAGACCAUCCCAAUUGCUAGCGUGUACCUACCUAAUCAUGUGUUCUCUCAUGGUCAACUCUAUGUCGCAUUGUCUCGAGCCACCGCGAAGAGAAACAUAAAGAUCCUCUUUGAGAAAUAGAAGGAGAAGGGCAAGGAGACCAAUAAAUCAAAGAAACGAAAAAGACCUACCCUGUCCUUACAGACCUCGAUGAAGAACAUCGUCUAUAAGGAAGUCCUUACAGGCUGAAGUCUGCACUUAAGGAACUUAUGUAACUUGCAUGAGUAUGACCAUGCGAAAGUGGUUAUGCGUGAUGGUAGUGGCUAUGCAAUUAUUGCCUCUAUAAGUGUUAUUGGUUGUAGGUACAUUUCGGACUCCUUGGUGCCAUUGAUAUGCAUUUCAAUUAUAUAUAUAUAUAUAUAUAUAUAUAUAUAUAUAUAUAUAUAUAUAUAUAAUGUUUGACAUUUAACAUAUUUGCAUUUCUCAUUGACAAGCCCACCUAUCGUAUAAUAUCUCGUUUAUGACGUUGUUGCACUAACAUGAAGGUAAAUUGCUUUUUCCUUGGAGUUGUUACUCAGAGUUGUUGAUAGAAUCCAUUUAUUUAGUGAAAUAAACCUGCAUAUAAUAAACACUUUAACAUACUAAGCUUCAGCAACAAAGAUCUGCAUUUAUCAAACUUAUUAAGUAGCUUGCAUGAGUAUCAUCAUGUGAAAGUGUUUAGCAUGUUCGUAGGGACAUUGAAACUAUUGGUUCUAAAAGUGUAAUUGGUUGUUAACAUAUUUAAGACUUCACAUACAAGCAUUUCAUAGUGUGGUUCAAUAAUACUGCAAUGUUGUUGUAUUAAGUUGACUCUUAGGAGGAUAUCAUGUGCAUUCAGUAAUAUAUAAUGCCCAGAUUUCACAUAUGUGUGUGGGGCAUUGACAUUCCCAGCUGUCGUAUAAUAUCCAUUUUGCUCACCUAAGAUUGACGACAUAAAGGCACAUGGUAAUCCAUUACAUUUUGCUCAGUAAAAUUGACGAUAUAAAGGCACAUUGUGUUCUGGUCCAAUUUGCUCAUCUAAUACUAUUGACGAUAUAAAGGCAGAUGGUGAUCAUGCAAUAUUGUUGGGAGCCUAUCGAGAAUGUGGUUAAGUUCCUAUUUAUUGUCUGUUACUUUGAGUUGUUGUUCAGGUGAACUCAGGUUGGGAACUUGGAUACAGUAAUGUUGAGUUCUUGCCUUCUAUUACGGGAGCGUUGUAUUUUGCUGGAGAAUAAUGCGCAUCAACUCGAUUACUAGACCCAGUUUCACUCUGAAAAUGACCAAAGUACACUUGCUUUCAAUCGAGCAAGUACUCACAUGAUUUGACAUCUACAGGUAUGUCGAAUUGUAGAACCUAUUGGGUGAACUAUCUAAGUGGCCUUCUCCUUGGGAAUUUAAUGCAGUUCCCUUCCGGGCAUUAGGUUUAUAUAUGCGGUAGUAGUUAAUAGAAAAGGCACUCCUAUCUCCUGCUCGAGACAAGUCCAUCUACUAAGUUGGAAUAUAUUUCAGUUUUCUCUACAAAAUAUCAUUAAUUACCAGUUCUGUACUAAUUUCAUUUUGUUCUAUAAGGUUCAGGCAUUGGGAAGUAUGGCAUUAACAAAAACAUUAUUGUGUUCAAACUUGUAGGGAUUUAAAAAGAAAAGUUCCCAUACUGUACUUUAAGUAGAGUGAACUGUUAUUUGUAUUUCAUAAAGAUUGAAAUCAAUUGAACAAUCAUCCAUGCUUGUAAUAUGGUAAUGGGUAGUGUAACAAUCAGAUAUACUAGCAGUCCUAAUAUGAUGACCAGAUAAUAAAAACCAAACCAUACCAUAGUAUAAACAUCAUGUGAGAGGAUCAAUAAAAGAUUACUUAAAUGAUGAGUAGAGAUGUUUUACCAGUAUGCAGUAGCCCUGUAUUUGUACACUCCAUAAGCUCCAACCCCGGCAAAUAGAACUCCGAAUAAAAUAACCCACAUGAAGCUCCAGCCAACUGAAAACGCAGCAUGUUUGCCUGCAAGGAGUUUAUAAACAGCACUAGGCUAGCACUAGAGUACAAUAUCAAAUGAAACGGUGACAUAAUUUCAGUUGCUAGCCGAUAGCAUUAGGUUAAUAAAAUAUAGAGUGAAGUGCACUGUAGGUCCUCAAACUAUUUCAGGGGUGUCACGUAGGUCCUCGAACUAAGAAAAUCGUCAUCCAGGUCCUCGAAGUGCAGUAAGUGUGUCAUUCAGGUCCAAAAUCUCACUGACCCCCUCUAACUGGUCAGCUGGCGUCGUUAACCGUGAACACUAAACAGUAAACUGUGAACAGUAAAAUAGCGUUCCAGGUCCACCAUUUUCUGUAUGUGAUGAACAGUAAAAAUCAAAAAAAUUCUAAAAUUCUUUGGCAUCGAAGAUACCCCGGUGUGUGAACAGUAAAAAUGUUCACUGAUUCAAAAAAAUGGUCACGAAUAUGGAAAAUUUAUUCGUGACUUUAGAAAACUGUUCACAAACAAUAAAUGUUCGCGAACCACAAAUACUCAUGACUUUAAAAAAUGCUAGUGAACAUUUUUUGAAAGUAAAGUCACGAAUAAUUUUUUCAAAAUCAUCGUUAGUGAACAUAUUUUUAAAGUCACGAAUAUUUUUUCCAAACUCUUCGGUCGCUAACAUUUUUUGAAUUAAUGAACAUUUUUACUGUUUACGCACCAGGGUAUCUUCGAUGCCAAAGAAUUUCAGAUUUUUUUAUAUUUUUACUACUCAUCUUGCACUGUUCAUCGCAUACAGAAAUGGUGUUCAGAACUGAAAUGAAUGCUAUUUUAAUGCCAUACAUCAGACUCUAAACUAGAGUAUCCACAAAAGAUAGGUGAUGCGUUGGUUGCUGAAUAAACGAUGGUUAUCCAGUCAUUGAGGAAAAUUUAGUACAGCAACAUGCACAGUUAAAUGAUGAGAGUGGAGUGACUUUAUCUCUGGCAACUCCUGCUCAGUCUGCUAGUUCUGCAGAAUCUAUCAACAAUGGACCUCCGGUCAAUUCUCAUGCAGCUCUUAUGGCCCCACUAGAUCUGAAUUUACCUAUACUUGAUUUGAAUUUGGCUGUGAAUGUACCACUGGCUCAGGAAGUUGAAUUUUUUUCCUAUUGUUGCUGAUGUGAUGGAGCCUAUGCCAGUUUUAAAACAACCUCUGAUGAUUAAUCCUCCUAUUGCAAAGCAGCAUGUUAAUGUUGAAGUUGCUUCAGUAGAACCUAUUGCCAUGUUAGCGGAAGUUGCUGCACCUGUCUCUUCUCCAGUUGCAGUUCCACUUGCCAAUAUAUCUCAAGCAAAUGAUGAUGUUACAACUUCAUCUGCCCCUGUGCCUGUUCAGAGCGUUGUCCCAACAGUUACUAUUGAUGCCCAUACUACCAUUUUAGCCACUGAUUCCUUAGAGCUACAUGCUUCACAGCCUGGUUUGCAGAGCCAUGUCAUUGCACAUCAUGACACAGCAGUUGAAUCUUCUGAUAUUCAGAGAGAGAAUCCUUUAGAACAGCAAGAAGCACUUUCCUUAAACACACAUAUGGCAUUGCAAGAGCUAGCUAUCCUUGGGCGCUCUUUUGACAUGUUUCCUGAGGAUCAAGGUACUACUCCUCCUGCACCUCCAGGCUUCCCUUUUCCUAUCUACCAGGGACUGCAACAUAAUAUCACAGUUGGGGCUAUGCAAUUUAUGUCUGAUGUUGCAGAUCCUGUUUUUCAAAAGAUGCUCCCAGAGAUGACUGACACACAAAUUUUAGGUAAAGAAGGAGCAUCUGUUUGGAACAAGCAUUUUGCUCCCUCCUUAGAUUCAGACAAGGUGGUUCAGGUGCCCAUAGAGUGGACAAAAAAAUUAUCUCUUGCCUUACUCUCACCUGAUAGAUUUGAAUGGGAAAAAUAUCUACUCUCCUCCUAAAUAUGGACAUAUAUUCUGGAAGUCUCUGAAAGUACACUCUUUAAACCAUUUGUCAUUCCUGAUAAAUGCACUUCUGAUAAGGCCCCUGCAUGCAAGUUGCAGAUUAUGGAAACUGCAGAGGAGGCCCCCAAAGUGGUUUUAUCCACUCCUCAAGGGCAGGGAUCAUCCUUGUCAGUUGAUGUGCAACCUUCAAGUACAUCUGCAGUGCAUGCUAACAACAAGAGGAAGGAAAAGAUACCCAUGGUAGAAUCUGAGGUAAGGAGGAGUGAAAGAUUGCAGAUGAUAAACAAAGGAUAUAAGAGGAAUCUUUGUCUAUACAAAUUGUACGCCCUGUAAUGCUGAUCCGCCUAUAAUUGCUAACAAAGUGGUCAGAAACCUAAGUUCCUCCUUUUGAAAAAUUCAGGAAUUUAAUGGCCCUUCUGCUACUGUGCAGAAGAAGACAAAGAAGCAAAAGCCUGCAUUGGAGCCCACAAGGAGGUCCCAGAGGAAAGGGCAGGGAUCAAAGGAGCAGGACUAGUUGGAUUAGUUCAGCUUCUUGUUUCUAAUUACCAGGAUGCUCUUCUUCUGUAAUAGUGAUGCACUUAUUCAGUUUUGAACCUACAGUAUCAGUCUGUUAUGCUUGUAUGAAUCCUGGAUUAUUUGUUUUUGUUGAUGGUACCAGUAUCGUUAAACAGUUUUUAUGGCCAUCUCAAAGUGUUUAAAGCUCUAUCUCCCUAAAUGCAUAAUAGAAAUUGGGAUAUCCUCAAUUGGAAUGUGAGAGGCAUUAACGAUCCAACAAAGUGGCUAGCUAUUGCAAAUAAGAUUGCAGAAACCAAUUGUGAUAUUAUCUGCUUAUAAGAAACUAAGAGAGAAUCUUUUGACAGCCAGUACAUCAAACAUUUCUGCCCUAGGACACUGAACAAAUUUGUUUUUCUCCCUCGGUGGGUGCAUCAGGAGGACUAUUUGUAGGUUGGAAUAGUAACCUUUUUGUAGGAACCACCCUUUUCCAGAAUGUCUUCUCCAUUUCAGUUCAACUUAUCUCCACCCUCUCGGGUGCUUCAUGGGUACUCACUAAUGUCUAUGCUCCCUGUCAAGGAGAGGCCAGAGUUGAUUUCAUUCAGUGGUUCAAAAACAUUUACAUGACGGAUAGCACAGACUGGUUAGUGGUUGGAGAUUUCAAUUUCAUGAGAUAUCCAGACAACAGAAAUAGAGCAGGUGGUAAUGUGCAAGACAUGCUCUCUUUCAAUGAUGCCAUCGGAGCUCAGGCCCUUGUGGAAAUCCCCCUGGAAGGUAGAAACUUCACUUGGAGUAACAUGCGGGAAGCUCCUCUUUUAGACAACUUGGGUUGGGUUUUUUCUUCUGAAUCCUGGACUCUGCAAUACCCAAACACCUUGGCCAUCCCUCUUGCUAAACCCAUUUCAAAUCACUACCCCUGUGUCAUUAAAGUAGGGACUGCUAUUCCAAAAUCAACAAUUUUUAGAUUUUAAAAUUACUUGCUUAAUCACCAUGAUUUCAAAGAAAUAGUUCAGCAGAUUUGGAACGAGGGAGUUCAAGGAAAGGAUAGUGCUCAGAGACUUACUGCCAAAUUUAAGAGACUUAGGAAAGGGCUCAAGAUUUGGGCUAAAAUUAAAUCAAAUUUGGCCUCACUAAAUCAAAAUUCCAAUGGUGUGAUUUUGUUUCUUGAUACUGUGGAGGAAUUUAGGGAUCUUGCCCCCUAGAAUGGGAUUUCAGACAAUUUCUCAAGGACCAUCUACUAAAAAUUCUAUCUGCACAGCAAGCUUACUGGAAUCAAAGGGCUACUAUUAGAUGGAUCACCAAGGGUGAAACAAACUCAAAAUUCCUCAAAGUUAAAGCCACCAUCAAAUUCAGAAACAACCACAUUGAUACUCUCAAAGAUGAGUUUGGGAAUGAGCAUUCUGAACAUCAAGCCAAAGCUAAUAUCCUUUGGAGGGCUUUCAAACAAAGUCUUGGGACUUCUAUGCCCACCUUCAAUCUGCUAGGCCUAGAAAAUCUUAUUGAGAAAUCUGAUGAUCUCCAUUGGCUUGAAACCCCCUUUACUAAAACAGAGAUUGAUGCAGUGGUAAAAGAUCUUCCCUCAGAUAAAGCCCCUAGGCCAGAUGGGUUUAAUACCAACUUUGUUAAAUCUUGUUGGGACAUCAUUGCUUCAGAUUUCUACCAACUGAUUGAGGAUAUUUUAAGGGUGAAGUGGAUCUGCAGAGCAUCAAUUCCUCUUCUCUAACUAUGAUCCCCAAGAAGGAUGCUCCUAUUGAGGCUAGUUAUUUCAGACUCAUUUCACUCAUAAAUUGCUCCAUCAAUAUUAUCACAAAGUUGUUGGCUAACAGAUUGCAAAAAGUUAUUCUGAAACUUGUUCACAGAAAUCAAUAUGGUUUUCUGAAAGAGAGGUCAUUCCAGGAUUGUUUGGCAUGGGCAUAUGAAUAUUUGCAUCAACGUAAUUAGUCCAAAAGAGAAAUUAUCAUUCUCAAAUUAGAUUUUGAAAAGGCUUUUGACAUGAUUGAACAUCACACUCUGAAAAGUAUUAUGGUGGCAAAAGGUUUUGGACCUAGAUGGAUGAAAUGGAUGGACAUGAUCUUUUCUUCAGGAACUUCUGUUGUCCUCCUCAAUGGAGUACCAGGAAAGCAAUUUUGGUGCAAGAAAGGUGUGAGACAGGAGGAUCCAGUCUCUCCUUUGAUUUUUGUGCUGGCUGCUGACAUUCUGCAAUCUAUCUUCAAUGAGGCCUUGAAACAUAAGUUGAUUUCCUCUCCUCUGGACAACAACAAAGAUUUUCAUGUCAUUCAAUGUGCUGAUGACACAAUUAUUAUAUUGCCAGCAUGUCCAACACAAUUACAACAAGUUCGGGGUUGCCGGAUCAUAACACAUAGUAGGUGACAAUUGACUUGCAAGAUAGGAUCAAGAACUCACAUAUAUUCAUGAAAACAUAAUAGGUUCAAAUCUGAAAUCAUGGCACUCGGGCCCUAGUGACAAGCAUUAGGCAUAGCAAGGUCAUAGCAACAUCAAUCUUAGAACAUAGUGGGUACUAGGGAUCAAACUCUAACAAAACUAACUCGAUUACAUGAUAAAUCUCAUCCAACCCAUCACCGUCCAGCAAGCCUACGAUCGAAUUACUCACGCACGGCGGUGAGAAUCAUGAAAUUGGUGAUGGAGGAUGGUUGAUGAUGACAACGGCAAUGGAUUCCCCUCUCCGGAGCCCCGAACGGACUCCAGAUCAGCCCUCCCGAGAGAGUUUAGGGCUUGGCGGUGGCUCCGUAUCGUAAAACGCGAUCAAUCAUUCUCUCUGAUUUUUUUUCUCCGUGAACGUGAAUAUAUGGAGUUGGGGUUGAGGUCCGUGGAGCAACAGGGGGCCCACGAGACAGGGGGCGCGCCCAGGGGGGUAGGCGUGCCCCCCACCCUCCUGGACAGGGUGUGGGCCAACUGGCCUUGAUUCUUUCGCCAGUAUUUUUUAUUAAUUCCAAAAAUAUUCUCUGUGAAGUUUCAGGUCAUUCCGACAACUUUUAUUUCUGCACAAAAAUAACACCAUGGCAAUUCUGCUGAAAACAGCGUCAGUCCGGGUUAGUUCCAUUCAAAUCAUGCAAGUUAGAGUCCAAAACAAGGGCAAAAGUGUUUGGAAAAGUAGAUACGAUGGAGACGUAUCAACUCCCCCAAGCUUAAACCUUUGCUUGUCCUCAAGAAAUUCAGUUGACAAACUGAAAGUGAUAAAGAAAAACUUUUACAAACUCUGUUUGCUCUUGUUGUUGUAAAUAUGUAAAGCCAGAAUUCAAGUUUUUAGCAAAGAUUAUGAACUAACCAUCUUCACAAUAAUUUACCCAUAUCAAUGGCAUAAUCAACUAGCGAUCAAUAAUAAUAAAUCUUUUUUGCCUCCUUGAGGUUAGCUUUUUCAACUUGCAUUUUCUCUUUUAGGGUCUCCCUGACCUUGUAAAUUAAUGCACAUAUGUAUUUUUGUUUGGAGUAAUAAAAUUGCUGUGGGGCCAAAGCUCUACAAUUUCAGGUCAAAAAAUAAUAAUAAAUCUUAGAGGACAAACUUUCUCAAAUCAAUCAUAAUAUGAUAUAAAAGGAUGGUAUCUCGCUAGCCCUUUCUGAGACCGCAAAACAUAAAUGCAGAGCACCUCUGAAGAUCAAGGACUGAAUAGACAUUGUAAUUCAUGGUAAAAGAGAUCCAGUCAUAGUCAUACCCAAUAUAAAUUAACAGUAAUGCAUGCAAAUGACAGUGUGCUCUCCAACUAGUGCUUUUUAAUAAGAGGAUGAUGACUCAACAUAAAAGUAAAUAGAUAGGCCCUUUGCAGAGGGAAGCCGGGAUUUGAAGAGGUGCUAGAGCUCAAUUUUUGAAAUAGAGAUAAAUAAUAUUUUGAGCGGCAUACUUUCAUUGUCAACAUAACAACCGAGAGAUCUCGAUAUUUUCCACGCUACACACAUUACAGGCGGUUCCCAAGCAGAAUGGUAAAGUUUAUACUCCCCCACCACCAACAAGCAUCAAUCCAUGGCUUGCUCGAAACAACGAGUGCCUCCAACUAGCAACAGCCCUGGGGGUGUUUUGUUUGCAAUUAUUUCGAUUUGAUUUGCUUAAAGCAUGGGACUGGGCAUCCCGAUGACCAGCCAUUUUCUUGUGAGUGAGGAGCGGAGUCCACUCCUCUUGAGAAUAACCCACCUAGCAUGGAAGAUACAGACAGCCCUAGUUGAUACAUGAGCUAUUCGAGCAUACAAAACAAAAUUUCAUUUGAAGGUUUAGAGUUUGGCACAUACAAAAUUACUUCAAACGGCAGGUAGAUACUGUUGGAAAUAUGCCCUAGAGGCAAAAAUAAAAUGGUUAUUCUUAUAUUUCCUUGUUCAUGAUAAUUGUCUAUUGUUCAUGCUAUAAUUGUAUUAACUGGAAACCGUAAUACAUGUGUGAAUACAUAGACCACAACAUGUCCCUAGUGAGCCUCUAGUUAACUAGCUCGUUGAUCAAUAGAUGGUUAUGGUUUCCUGACCAUGGACAUUGGAUGUCAUUGAUAACGGGAUCACAUCAUUAGGAGAAUGAUGUGAUGGACAAGACCCAAUCCUGAGCAUAGCACAAGAUCGUGUAGUUCAUUUGCUAAGAGAUUUUCUAAUGUCAAGUACCAUUUCCUUAGACCAUGAGAUUGUGCAACUCCCAGAUACCGUAGGAAUGCUUUGGGUGUACCAAACGUCACAACAUAACUUGGUGGCUAUAAAGGUGCACUACAGGUAUCUCGGAAAGUGUCUGUUGGGUUGGCAUGAAUUGAGACUAGGAUUUGUCACUCCGUAUGAUGGAGAGGUAUCUCUGGGCCCACUCGAUAAUGCAUCAUCAUAAUGAGCUCAAUGUGACUAAGUAGUUAGUCACGGGAUCAUGCAUUACGGAACGAGUAAAGUGACUUGCCAGUAACGAGAUUGAACGAGGUAUUGGGAUACCGACGAUCGAAUCUCGGGCAAGUAACAUAGCGAUUGACAAAGGGAAUUGUAUACGGGAUUGAUUGAAUCCCCGACAUCGUGGUUCAUCCUAUGAGAUCAUCGUGGAACAUGUGGGAGUCAACAUGAGUAUCCAGAUCCCGAUGUUGGUUAUUGGCCGGAGAACUGUCUCGGCCAUGUCUGCAUGGUUCCCAAACCCGUAGGGUCUACACACUUAAGGUUCGGUGAUGCUAGAGUUGUUAUGGGAAAUAGUGUGUGGUUACCGAAGGUUGUUAGGAGUCCCGUAUGAGAUCCCGGAUGUGACGAGGAACUUCAGAAUGGUCCGGAGGUGAAGAUCGAUAUAUUGAUGAAGGGUAUUGGAGUCCGGAAUUGUUCUGGGAGUACCGGGUGACGACCAGCGUGACCGAAAGGUGUUUCGAAGGCCCCGGCAAGCGUUGGGGGGCUUAUGGGCCAAGGAGAGAGGGCACACCAGCCCACUAAGGGGCUGUGCGCCCCUCCCAACCCCUCUCACGUAACCUGGAGAGGUGGGGGCGCCUCCCCUAGGGAAGAUGCCCCUCCCGGCUUGGGGGGCAAGUUUCCUAGGGGUAGGGGCGCCCAAACCCAUCUAGGGUUUCCCCUGUGGCCGCCACCCAUCCCCUAGGGAACCCUAGGGAGCCCCCUCCACCCCCCUUCCCCCUAUAUAUAGUGAGGGAGAGAGAGGUCAGUUGCACCCUUCCCCUGGUGCAGCCCUCUCCCUCCUCCAACACCUCCACCUCCUCCGUAGUGCUUGGCGAAGCCCUGCUGGAGAAACACGAGCUCCACCACCACCACGCCGUCGUGCUGUCGGAGUUCUCCCUCAACUUCUCCUCUCCCGUUGCUGGAUCAAGAAGGAGGAGACGUCCCUGGGCUAUACGUGUGUUGAAUGCGGAGGCGCCGUCCGUUCGGCGCUAGAUCGGAUCUUCCGCUAUUUGAAUUGCCGCGAGUACGACUCCAUCAACCGCGUUCUUGUAACGCUUCCGCUUAGCGAUCUUCAAGGGUAUGAAGAUGCACUCCCUCUCUCUUGUUGCUAGAAUCUCCAUAGAUUGAUCUUGGUGAUGCGUAGAAAAUUUUGAAUUUCUGCUACGUUCCCCAACAGAUACCGCAUAUAGAAAGGUAUAGUGGACUCAUAUGGAAUAACUUUGGGGUUUAUGGAAUUGGGCGCACAAGCAGUAUUCCCGCUUAGUACAAGUGAAGGCUAUAAAGAGACUGGGAACCGACCAACUAGAGAGCGACAGCAGUCAUGAACAUGCAUUAAAAUUAAUCAACACUGAGUGCAAGCAUGAGUAGGAUAUAACUCACCAUGAACAUAAAUAUCGUGGAGGCUAUGUUGAUUUUGUUUCAACUACAUGAGUGAACAUGUGCCAAGUCAAGCCACUCGAAUCGUUCAAAGGAGGAUACCACCCUAUCAUACCACAUCACAACCAUUUUAAUAGCAUGUUGGUACGCAAGGUAAACCAUUAUAAACUCCUAGAUAAUUAAGCAUGGCAUAAGCAACUAUAAUCUCUAAUUGUCAUUGCAAACAUGUUUAUUCAUAAUAGACUGAAUCAGGAACAAUGAACUAAUCAUAUUUACAAAAACAAGAGAGGUCGAGUUCAUACCAGCUUAUCUCAUCUCAAUCAGUCCAUCAUAUAUCGUCAUUAUUGCCUUUCACUUGCACGAUCGAACGGUGUGGAUAAUAAUAAUAGUGCACGUGCAUUGGACUAAGCUGGAAUCUGCAAGCAUUUAAUACAAGGGAGAAGACAAGGUAAUAUGGGCUCUUGGUUAAUUCAACAAUAAUGCAUAUCAGAGCCACUUCAACAUUUUCAUCAUGGUCUUCUCCUUUCGACCCCCAAAGAAAAGAAAGGAAAUAAAACUAUUUACACGGGAAAGCUCCCAACAAGCAAAAGAAGAACGAGAACUCUUUUUAGGUUUUUUUUAAUUGCUACUACUACAAGCAUGGAAAGUAAACUAGCUAAAGGCUAUAACUAAUUUUUUUUUGUUUUUCUUAAGGUUUUUCAAACACACAAAAAGAAAGCGAGAAAAAGAAAAUAAACUAGCAUGGAUAGUACAAUGAAAAAGUAUGAGCACCGACAACUAGAAUGAGUGUGUGAACAUGAAUGUAAUGUCGGUGAGAAAUACGUACUCCCCCAAGAUUAGGCUUUUGGCCUAAGUUGGUCUAGUCCCACGGAUCAAAGCUACCCUAUCCAGUGUACGGAGGAGUGUCCUAUGGGUGCCACUGUUUGGCAAUCUCCUCUGGAUUCCACUGAUAAAUAGACUGUCGAUAAGGGUCCAGGGGUGGCUCCAGAUCAGGCUCUGGAGCUGGUGCCAGGCUCCAGUACGCGUAAAUGGCCUCCAGUGGGAUGAGGUACGUGCCUGAAAAUAUGUUAAACAAAGAGGGCGCAGGCAAGGUAAUAAUAUCACAAUAAUUUUGAUCAAAUAUCAGUUUAUACUUAAGCAUCUUCUUCGUAUCUUUAACAAUAAAGUCAUGUGCUACCAUACUCUUAUAAUCUAGAAAGACAGGGGGUAGCAACUUUUCUUCUUUCUCAUAAUGCCUAAUAGGUAUCUCAAAGUGUGCAGCAAGGCGAGAAGCAAAGAUGCCACCAAAGAUGGGGCCCUUUGUACGGUUCAGACUUAAUCAUUUAGCAAUAACAGCGCCUAAACUGAAAGUUGUAUCACGAAACAAAGCAUGGCGCAAAAUAACAAUAUCAGGAGCACUAAGAUUUCCACUGUUCCCGCGACCAAUCAAGCAUCUACUAGCAAAUAUUACAAAGUAACGUAGAACAGGAAAAUGUAUGCCAGUAAUUCUUGCACCUGAAACUUUCCUUGUUUCCCCUACAGCAAUUUCAUUAAUAAAUCCCUCCACAUCAUUACGGUGUGGUUCCUCUAUGCUACCCUCAAAGGGUAUCUUGCAGACCCGACAAAAUUCACUAAGCGACAUCUCCUUAACCUCAUCAUAUAAAUGAAACUCCACUGAAGGUGGUGAUUUCCUAGCAUGAAAGUAAAAAUUUUGCACCAAAAUAUUAGUGAGUAGGAGAUACUGUUUGCACUGGUCGUGGAGGAAGUCGGUGAGGCCUGCAUUCUCAGCCAAAUAAUAAAAAUCAUCAUGAAUCCCGGCUGCCUUCAAGAACUCAUCACAAGGCCAUUCACACGGUCGAACCUCCAUAGUGCGAGGGAGAUUAUAUUUGGGCUUCUUAUUCUCCUCACUUUGCUUAUCCUUCGAGCUUCGGCUCAAAGAGCCCCUCAAAAUCUCUUCAUCAUUUUCUCCCUCUAAAAAUUUCUGAAAUUUUAAGUAACUCAAAAUAAAAGUGAACCAAACUCAAUAAAAUUCAUAGCAACUACUCCCACAAGUGCCUAGAGACUAUGUCAUGCAUUAGAACUACUUGGGACCAUACAAAUUUAGCAUGCAAUCUCAAGAACAGGGUCACCUCAGCAGCAAAAACUUGCAAUAAAUAAAGCACUAGAACAAAAACUAAUUGGACCAUUAGAGGAGUCACCUACCAAAGAACAAUCCCCCAAAGCAGUUUUGUGAAUGAAGCUUUGAGCAAGGAGAUCGAAAAUCGCAUAAAAACAAGCUAGAACACGAGUUUGAGCUAUAUAGUGAUUUUUUCUGGAGGAAGACAAAGUGUGUGGGUGCUGGAAUAAGUGGAGGGGGGCCACAUGGGGCCCACAAGGCAGGGGGCGCGCCCUGGACCCUCUUGGCCAGGUGCUUGCCCCUCUGGUGUGUUUUGAGUGCGAGAUAUUCUUAAAUAUUCCAGAAAAAAUCAUAUUUCAAUUUGAGAACUAUUAUUUUCGGGGUAUUUUUUAUUGCAUGGAUAAUUCAGAAAACAGACAAAAAAUAUUUUUGUUUUAUUUAAUCUAAAUAACAGAAGGUAAAAGGAGGGUACAGAGAGUUGUGUUUUCUAACUUCAUCUAUCUCAUGCUCAUCAAAAGGAAUCCACUAACAAGGUUGAUCAAUCUUGUUAACAAACUCAUUCCGAGUCGCAUGAAACUGGAGAAUUUUCGAAUAACACUAUGUUACCUCAACGGGGAUAUGCAUGUCCCCAAUAAUAAGAAUAUCAUAUUUCUUUUUGACAAUAGGAAGAGGAAAUUCAAAACCUCUAAUAGUAAUCGUUGGAAUUUUUCCAAUAGAAUUGAUACUAUGGACUUGAGGUUGUUUCCUCGGAAAGUGUACCGUGUGCUCAUUACCAUUAACAUGAAAAGUGACAUUGCCUUUGUUGCAAUCAAUAACAGCCCUUGCAGUAUUCAAAAAAGGUCUACCAAGAAUAAUAGACAUACUAUCGUCCUUGGGAAUAUCAAGAAUAACAAAGUCCGUUAAAAUAGUAACGUUUGCAACCACAACAAGCACAUCCUAACAAAUACCGACAGGUAUAGCAGUUGAUUUAUCGGCCAUUUGCAAAGAUAUUUCAGUAGGUGUCAACUUAUUCAAAUCAAGUCUAUAAUAUAAAGAGAGAGGCAUAACACUAACACCGGCUCCAAGAUCACAUAAAGCAGUUUUAACAUAAUUUCUUUUAAUGGAUCAUGGUAUAGUUGGUACUCCUCGAUCUCCAAGUUUCUUAGGUAUUCCACCUUUGAAAGUAUAAUUAGCAAGCAUAGUGGAAAUUUCAGCUUCCGGUAUCUUUCUUUUAUUUGUAACAAUAUCUUUCAUAUACUUAGCAUAAGGAUUCAUUUUAAGCAUAUCAAUCAAACGCAUACACAAAAAGAUAGGUCUAAUCAUUUCAGCAAAGCACUCAAAAUCCUCAUCAUCCUUUUUCUUGGAUGGUUUAGGAGGAAAAGGCAUGGGUUUCUGAACCCAUGGUUCUCUUUCUUUACCGUGCUUCCUAGCAACAAAGUCUCUCUUAUCAUAACGUUGAUUCUUUGAUUGUGGGUUAUCAAGAUCAACAGCAGGUUCAAUCUCUACAUCAGUGUCAUUGCUAGGUUGAGCAUCAACAUGAACAUCAUUAUUAACAUUAUCACUAGGUUCGUGUUCAUCACCAGAUUGUGUUUCAGCAUCAGAAAUAGAAAUAUCAUUGGGAUUCUCAGGUGUGUCAACAACACGUUCACUAGAAGCAUGCAAAGUCCUAUCAUUUUUCUUUUUCUUCUUUUUAGAAGGACUAGGUGCAUCAACAUUAUUUCUCUGAAAAUCUUGCUCAAUUCUCUUAGGGUGGCCUUCAGGAUACAAAGGUUCCUGAGUUAUUUUACCCCCUCUAGUCAUAACUCUAACAGCAUUAUCAUUCUUCUUAUUAUUUAAUUCAUUGAGCAAAUCAUUUUGAGCUUUAAGCACUUGUUCUACUUGAGUGGUAACCAUGGAAGCAUGUUUACUAAUGAGUUUAAGUUCACCUUUAACUCUAGACAUAUAAUCACUCAAGUGCUCAAUCAUAUAAGCAUUACGUUUCAAUUCUCUACCAACAUAAGCAUCAAAGUUCUCUUGUUUAACCAUAAAGUCAUCAAACUCAUCUAGGCAUUGACUAGCAAACUUGGUAGACGGGAUUUCAGCCUUAUCAUAUCUAUAGACAGAAUUUACCUUUACUACCUGUGUCGGGUUAUCAAGACCAUGUAUUUCUUCAAUAGGCGGCAAAUUAAGACCAUGUAUUUCUUCAACAGGCGGUAAAUUCUUAACAUCUUCAGCUUUAAUACCUUUUUCUUUCAUAGAUUUCUUUGCCUCUUGCAUAUCUUCAGGACUGAGAAAUAGAAUACCCCUUUUGUUCGGAGUUGGCUUAGGUGUUGGUUCAGGAAGUGUCCAAUUAUUUUCAUUAGUCAAUAUAUUAUUCAAUAGCACUUCAGCUUGAUCAACGGUUCUUUCCCUGAAAACACAACCAGCACAACUGUCCAAGUAGACUCAGGAGGCAUCGGUUAGUCCAUUAUAAAAGAUAUCAAGUAUUUCCUUUUUCUUGAUAGGAUGAUCAGGUAAAGCAUUAAGUAAUUGGAGAAGCCUACCCCAAGCUUGUGGGAGACUCUCUUCUUCAAUUUGCACAAAAUUAUAUAUUUCCCUUAAAGCAGCUUGUUUCUUAUGAGUGGGGAAAUAUUUAGCAGAGAAGUAAUAAAUCAUAUCCUGGAGACUACGCACACAACCAGGAUCAAGAGAAUUAAACCAUGUCUUAGCAUCACCCUUUAAUGAGAACAGAAAUAAUUUAAGGAUAUAUUAGUUGUGAGUUUUCUCAUCAUUAGUGAAUAGGGUAGCUAUAUCAUUUAAUUUAGUAAGAUGUGCCACAAGAGAUUCAGAUUCAUAGCCAUAGAAAGGAUCAGAUUCGACCAAAGUAAUUAUCUCAGGAUCGACAGAGAAAUCAUAAUCCUUAUCGGUAAUACAGAUAGGUGAAGUAGCAAAAGUAGGGUCAUAUUUCAUUCUAGCAGUCAGAGAUUUUUCUUUCAACUUAGCUAAUAAUUUCUUAAGAUCAUUCCUAUCAUUGCAAGCAAGAAAAUCUCUAGCAGUUUCUUCAUCCAUAACAUAACCCUCAGGCACAACAGGCAAUUCAUAUAUAGGGGGAGAAUCUUCAUCAUCACUUUCAUCAAUAUUAUCUGUUUCAAUAAUUUCAUUCUCUCUAGCCCUAGCAAGUUGUUCAUCUAGAAAUUCACCUAGUGGCACAGUAUUAUCAAGCAUAGAAGUAGUUUCAUAAUAUGUAUCAUGCAUAGCAGAAGUGGCAUCAUCAAUAACAAGCGACAUAUCAGAAUUAAUAGUAGAAGCAGGUUUAGGUGUUGCAAGUUUACUCAAAACAGAAGGUGAAUCAAGUGCAGAGCUAGAUGGCAGUUCCUUACCUCCCCUCGUAGUUGAGGGAUAUAUCUUGGUUUAUUCAUCUUUCAAGUUCCUCAUCAUGCUCAGCAGAUAUAAAUCCCAAGUGACUCAAAGAAUAGAGCUAUGCUCCCCAGCAACGGAGCCAGAAAAUAGUCUUGAUAACCCACAAGUAUAGGGGAUCGCAAUAGUUUUCGAGGGUAGAGUAUUCAACCCAAAUUUAUUGAUUCAACACAAGGGGAGCCAAGGAAUAUUCUCAAGUAUUAGAAGUUGAGUUGUCAAUUCAACCACACCUGUAAAACUUAAUAUCUGCAACAAAGUAUUUAGUAGCAAAGUAGUAUGGAAGUAACGGUAACGGUGGCAAAGGUAACAGUAGCAGUUUUGUAGUAAUUGUAACAAUGGCAAAGGUAAAGUAACUAAGCAAAGAUCAAUAUGUGAAAAGCUCGUAGGCAUUGGAUCAGUGAUGGAUAAUUAUGUCGGAUGUGAUUCCUCAUGCAAUAGUUAUAACAUAGGGUGACACAAAACUAGCUCCAGUUCAUCAAUGUAAUGUAGGCAUGUAUUCCGAAUAUAGCCAUAUGUGCUUAUGGAAAAGAACUUGCGUGGCAUCUUUUGUCCUACCCUCCUGUGGCAGCGGGGUCCUAUUAGAAACUAAGGGAUAUUAAGGCCUCCUUUUAAUAGAGUACCAGACCAAAGCAUUAACACUUAGUGAAUACAUGAACUCCUCAAACUACGUUCAUCAUCGAGAGUGGUCCCGAUGAUUGUCACUUCGGGGUUGCCGGAUCAUAACACAUAGUAGGUGACUAUUGACUUGCAAUAUAGGAUCAAGAACUCACAUAUAUUCAUGAAAACAUAAUAGGUUCAGAUCUGAAAUCAUGGCACUCGGGCCCUAGUGACAAGCAUUAAGCAUAGCAAAGUCAUAGAAACAUCAAUCUUAGAACAUAGUGGGUACUAGGAAUCAAACUCUAACAAAACUAACUCGAUUACAUGAUAAAUCUCAUCCAACCCAACACCGUCCAGCAAGCCUACGAUGGAAUUACUCAUGCACGGCGGUGAGCAUCAUGAAAUUGGUGAUGGAGGAUGGUUGAUGAUGACGACGGCAACAGAUUCCCCUCUCCGGAGCCCCGAACGGACUCCAGAUCAGCCCUCCCGAGAGAGUUUAGGGCUUGGCGGCGGCUCUGUAUUGUAAAACGCGAUGAAUCCUUCUCUCUGAUUUUUUUUCUCCCCGAACAUGAAUAUAUGGAGUUGGGGUUGAGGUCGAUGGAGCAACAGGGGGCCCAUGAGGCAGGGGGCGCGCCCAGGAGGGUAGGCGUGCCCCCCACCCACGUGGACAGGGUGUGGGCCCCUGGCCUUGAUUCUUUCGCUUGUAUUUUUUAUUAAUUCCAAAAAUAUUCUCCGUGAAGUUUCAGGUCAUUCCGAGAACUUUUAUUUCUGCACAAAAAUAACACCAUGGAAAUUCUGCUGAAAACAGCGUCAGUCCGGGUUAGUUCCAUUCAAAUCAUGCAAGUUAGAGUCCAAAACAAGGGCAAAAGUGUUUGGAAAAGUAGAUACGAUGGAGAUGUAUCAUUACCCGUUGUGAAUUAUCUUAUCACAAAACUAUCUGCUACCGAUAAUUUCAGUGCUUGUAGAGAAUACCUUGCUGAGAAUCACUCGUCAUUUUCUUCUGCACAUCGUUGGGUUCGACACUCUUACUUAUCUAAAGGACUAUGAUAUAUCCCCUAUACUUGUGGGUCAUCAAGACUCUUUUCUGGCGCCGUUGCCGGGGAGUGAAGAGCCUUUGGUAAGUGGAAUUUGGUAAGGAAACAUUUAUAUAGUGUGCUGAAAUUUACUGUCACUUGUUGCUAUGGAAAAUUAUCCUUUGAGGGGUUUGUUCGGGGUAUCUUUACCCUGACUGUAAGAGCAAAGAGUUUCCCCUCAACCUACUGAAUCUACUGAAAAUAUUUAAUAUGAAACUCCUUCGGGUAUGAUUGAGAAACUGCUAGCUAAUCCUUGUGCAAGAGAUGAACAUUACAUCCUUAUAUGCAUCUAAUCUAUGUGGAUGAAGUUUGCCCGAGGAUGAAGUCAAGAAGAAGGUCUUCCCUUUAUAUUUGAAGGAGAAGGCAUUGACAUGGUAUAGGCUAUGCGAUGAUAUUGGGACUUGGAACUACAACUGAUUGAAAUUGGAGUUUCAUCAGAAGUUUUAUCCUAUGCAUCUAGUUCAUCGUGAGUCAUGUUGGUGAGUAAUUAUUCAUUAGUAAGAAUAUUUGUAUUAAGGUUUGUGAUUCCCUAUGCAACAACGAAAGUCGAUAGUUAUGCAAUGAAGUUACAUCCUACUUGCGGUGAAUUAUUCGGUGUUAGUUAUGUUUAAUGCUCUUUUAUGAUCGUUUUUGUUUAUUGGUUGGUCGCUUCUCAAUCUAUUUGCUAGCCUCCAUUUGUACUAAGUGGGAACACUACUUGUGCAUCCAAACUCCUUAAACCCAAGUUGUGCCAAAUGAUUCCACCAUACCUACCUAUAUGCGGUACUUUUCGUGUCGUUCCAAGUAAUUUGUAUGUGCCAACUCUAAUUUUCAAGAUAAAUUUCCUUUUUGUGUGCCCGUACCGCUCAUGAACAGGCAGGAGGUGGCCCAUAUUUUCCAUGCUAGAUAGUUAUUCUCAAGAUGAGUGUUUAUUCACUUGUAAUUGCACGAGAGUGUGGCAAGGUAAUAGGGAUGCCCAGUCCCGAAAUGAAAAAAAAACUAUGUUGUUCAAUAAUAAAUUCCUUGGACAGUGUUGGUAUGGAAGGCACCCUUGGAUACGGCUAGCCGUGGAUUGUGAAAGAAUGGUGGAAAAGGGAAUAAACUUUAUUUUAUGUUUGGGAACCGCCUAUGAUUUAUCUAGCAUGAAAAGUAUUGGAAAUUCUUGGUCGUUUUCGUUGAAGGGAAAAGCAUGCCACCCAAAAUAAUUUGAUCUCUCAAUUUAAGCUUUGAUCUCUAGCACCUCUACAAAUCUUUUCUUCCCUCUGCGAAGGGCCUAUCUAUUUACUUUAUGCAAUUUUUAUUUUUAUUGAGUCUCCAUCUUCUCUUAUAAAGCACCAACUAGGAAACACUAUUAUCAUACUUGUGCAUUGGGCAUAAUUAAUAUUUGAGUGUGUUUCAUGAAUGGAUCAAUGAUUGAGCAUGAUGGGCUAUGGAUAGCUUUCUUUAGUGUUGAUAUUUUGAAAGACUUGGUUGCUUGUUGAUAUGCUUGAGUAUUGAUGUCUUCAUGUCAAAUAUAGACUGUUGCUUUGAAUCAUCUAAAAGUCCAAAUGUCCAUGCUACAAAAGAAAAGAUUAUGAGAUGAACAUGUUAGGCAGCAUUCCACAUAAAAAAUUUGUUUUUAUCAUUUACCUACUCGAGGACGAGCAGGAAUUAAGCUUGGUGAUUUUGAUACCUCUCCAAUGUAUCUAUAAUUUUUUAUUGUUCCAUGAUGUUAUAUUAUCAAUCUUGGAUGUUUUAUAUUCAUUUUAUAGCAACUUCAUAUCGCUUUUUUGGACUAACCUAUUGACAUAGUGCCCAGUGCCAAUUGUUGUUUUUUGCUUAUUUUUUACUUCGUAGAAUAUCUAUACCAAACAAAGUCCAAAUACCAAGCUAGAUGGCUUCUUCUCUCUUUUUGAUCUUCAAUACAAUGUUCUUGGAGAUCUAUUUGAUGUAACUCUUUUUUGCGAUGUGUUUGUUGGGAUCCGAUGAAUUGUGAGUUUAUGAUCGGGUAUAUCUAUGAAUAUUAUUUGAGUCUUUGUUCAACUCUCUUAUGCAUGAUUGUUAUAGCCCCGUAUUUCUUCUGUGAAACUUUGGUUUGGUUUGGUUUGGCCAACUAGAUUGAUUUUUCUUGCCAUGGGAAGAGGUGCUUUGUGUUGGGUUCGAUCUUGCGAUGCUCAAUCUCAGUGACAGAAAGAGAGAUGACACGCAUGUAUCAUUUCCAUUAAGGAUAGAAAGAUGGGGUCUCUUCCUGCAUGAAUAGAUCUUGUCUACAUCAUGUCAUCAUUCUUAUUGCAUUACUCUGUUUCUUCAUGAACUUAAUACACUAGAUGCAUACUGGAUAGCGGUUGAUGUGUGGAGUAAUAAUAGUAUAUGCAGGAAGGAGCCGGUCUACUAAUCUUGGACGUGAUGCCUAUAUACAUGAUCAUUUCCUUGGAUAUCGUCAUAACUAUUUGCUUUUCUAUCAAUUGCACAACAGUAAUUUGUUUACCCAUCGUAUGUUAUUUUCUCAGGAGAAGCCUCUAGUGAAAUCUACGACCCCUGGGUCUAUUUUCUAUCAUAUUGUUUCAGAUCUAUUAAUCCAAAAAUCCAAAAAUACCGUGCUGCACGUUUUCUUUAUUUAUUUUAUUUUGUGUUUUCGUCAGAUCUAUUUAUCCAAUCUCAUACAAUUUAAUAUAUCUCAAUAUCGAGGAGGGAUUGACUACCUCUCUUACGCGUUGGGUUGCAAGUUUUUGUUAUUUGUGUGAAGGUGUUGUUUACAUAGUUUGGUGGAUCCUCCUACUGGAUUGAUACCUUGGUUUCAUAACAGAGGGAAAUACUUACUGUUGUUGUGUUGCAUCAUGAUCUCCUCUUCGGGGAAAUACCAACGCAAAUACAAGUAGUCAAUGGGUAGGAGGGUCUUCCUUCCUCGGAUACCCCUAUGCCCGUCUGACAACGACAUGUUUCCAUUCAAGUUCAAGAGGAAGUAGUUUCUUCUCAGGCUUGGCUUUGCUAUGACGAUUAACAAGCCGCAAGGACAGACCAUCCAGAUUGCUAAUGUGUACCUACCUAAUCAUGUGUUCUCUCAUGGUCAACUCUAUGUCGCAUUGUCUCGAGCCACCGCGAAGAGAAACAUAAAGAUCCUCUUUGAGAAGGAGAAGGAGAAGGGCAAGGAGACCAAUAAAUCAAAGAAGCGAAAAAAGACCUACC
rnacentral:lncRNA from 1 species